CUUGCUGAUGACGUUUUAUUUAGGGGACGAUAGCUAGCUAGAAUCGAUAGCUACCUAGCUAGCUAGAACGCUUCAAAAAUUUAUAUAUUAAUGUUUUACGCACUGUAGCUUUGGUUUAAAGUCCCAAUCCCGCGUAGACUUCGAGUAUUGUUUCGAUAAUUUGCUGUGAAAUGUUGGUGACGUUAACUAGUUGAAUGAAUCUGUUAAUUUACAGAGAUAGCUUGUAGGAAAUGAUUAGCUAGCUAGUCAGCUUGUUUUGUUGCUAGCAAUAAUAAUGGGGACAACAAUGGGAAAAUGGGAUACCUAGUCAGUUGCAAAACUCAUUCUAUUCACCCGAAAUGUAUCUUCCGCAUAAUAUGGUAGUAAUGUUACUAGUUAGUGAUCCAGCUUAGCUAGCUAUGUUGACAUUGGUUUUUGGGUUGCCAAGAUAUCUGUAGUUUUAGGGUGAAGAGCUAAUAUGAUUGUUCUAAGUAAAAUUCAUAUUACUCAGUAUGUAUCUCUGGUUGACGCUCCAAGUGAGAGAGGCUUAGAGAUGUGGUCAUAUCAAUUAUCAGAGAGGAAGAACUUAAGCAAUAACUUAUACUAGAGAAUCUUUGACAAUACCCAGGUUUUGUGGUUUUUGAAUAGACUAGCUACAUACCAUCCCAUAGAGCUCUAACCUGUGGUUGGUGUCUAAAGUCACAGAGACAGCCAGGUAGAGCUGUGCCAAGAUGGAUGUCCAGUUGUCCAUCAGCUUCCUGAGGGACAGACUGGGCGGGGCCAUUGAGGAGGCAGUGCGUACAGCAGUGGAGUCUGUGCUGAGUGAGACUGUGCGUCUGUUAACCGGGCUCCAAGGGGACCAGCAGCAGGGACUCUCCUCAGUGACCCAGAGGGACCAGGACACCCUGGGACUGAAGCAGAGGUUAGAGGCUCCCAGCGGGGGUGACUGGAGGGUGCAGGCUGGGUCUUCAGAGGCAUUCUGUAACACAGGACCGAGGGGGGGUGGUGGGCGUGGCAACAUUAAGAAUCCAAUGGGUCAGACCACUUGCUCGACCUCCCAAGCAUCACAAAGGACCACCGUGGAGCCCCAUCCCCAGGAGGUGGUGGAGGACUGUGCUGGACUGCCUGACCCAUUUGACCUUGUGUCGGCUGGGCCAGUGAUGGUGGACUUUGAGGAGAGUCAGGGCAUGGGGAUCCCAGAGGAGUGGGAGCUGAUGAACAGAGUGUACAAGACGGAGCACAAUGAAGACAUGGCCCUUAUUGACAGGGAUGGUACCACUCACUUUGCAGAUGACCACAGGCUGCAUGAAGGAGACCUGAGGACUGUGGCUGUGCCCCUGGAGGGAGAGAUGGCUGCCAAGCCCCAGGAUGCAUUGCACCCCUGCUUCAGCCCAGCCAACAUCAAGACAGAGCGGCCUGAGAUGGAGAGAUGCUGCAUGGCUGAGGAAGCCCUUGCUCUGCGUCUGCCUCAUUCUACCAAUAGUGGUGUGGAAGCCGGUGAGUUUGGGCAGGAGCAGGUGGAGGCUGGUCCACAGGACUUUGUAGGUCGCCUGCGCCUGUGGCUAGAGCAGCUGUGUCCUGAGGUGGUGCGGGAGUACGAGAGGGAGGGCUGUCUGUGUGAGCUGUCCCGCAGAAAGCUCAUCAAGUUCUCUGUGUCCUUCAUCGUGGAGGAGUUUGGAUUCUACCCUACCUCUGCUCAGAAGACCAUGCUGGCAGAGCACAUAGUGGAGCUCUUCCCAGGACUCAGGCUCUGUGCACCCUCUGCUGGCAUCAAUGGCAUCGAACACUUGUACGACCCUUUGUCCCGUACGGGUUACAUUGAGACACGCCUGCGCAACUCUCGACGCACCCUUGAAGACCACAAGAAGAAGUAUGUGCUGAAGAGGCGUCGGCCAGAGCCAGGCCUGUUAGACCCCGCUGGACCUAGAUCGGGACCUGGGCUUCUGGAGAGCCAGUCCAGUGAGGAGACCCAGAGGUGGGUGGAGCUGAUGAAGAAAACCAGGCCCCUGACCAGGAAUCUGCCUGCCAUCCACAGUGCUAUGGACCUCACAUUCAACGCACGCAGGAGGUGGAUCAGCAACACACGGCCUAGUAUGAGGGCUGUGUUGGCCGAGUACCCACGUUUUCUUGACGUACCCGCCACGAUUGACCUGGAGUUUGAGAGGAUGUUCCCAGGUAAAGGCCACUCCUUCCUGGCCCAGUGGUCGUCUUUCGUGUUGCCCAGGGUGUACCAGAUCGCAGAGUGCGAAAAACACCCAGACAUCUCUGCACUUCUCCAACUGGCUGCCACACAGCAAGGAGACUCCUACACCCUGACUAUGCUGACGGUCCUGAUCUAUGUACUAACAUCAACAAACACCAGUAGAUCCUCCUUACCCUCCAGGAGCAGUGUCAGGCAGGCCAUUCGGUAUCUGGUGGACAUUGUACCGAUGGACACCGAGGUGUCCUCCUUAUUCUGUGACCCUACCUCCUUGGAGGGCCCAGAGUCUGCCUCCCACGCUCAGCCCUACAUAGUGAGCGUGGGGCCCCUGGAGGCUCCUGGCCGGCAGCUUUGCAUCGUGUUCCCUGUUGAUAGGAUGGCAAUCCCCCUGCCUCAGGAGGGCCUGAGCAAUGCACUGGACAAGCUUUUCAAGCUUCUGCGUGUGUUUGAACUGGGGUACCCAGAUCAGCUAGCCUCCCUGUAUGGCUUCCUUGAGCACCUCUAUGGGCUGGAGAUGACCCCACGAGAUAACCAUGACUCCCCCAGUGGCAAGGGAUCAAAAGUGCUUGAACUUUUAUCACGGCUCCACAUGCCCUCCUGACAGAAGGCAUCUACACAUCUACACAUGAAUUGAACUCGCCCCACAGAUUGACCUUUUUAUUUGCAUUUUUUGGAUUGCAAUUUUAUCAUAGCCAUCCUUUACAGAACACGUCCUUUACUAUGUUCUAAAUUUGCCCCAAAAUAAAAUGUGUGUCAGACUGAACUGAACAAUGCUGAUGGAACACUGGUGUGUUAUACCUUCAUUAUACAGUACCAGUCAAAAGUUUGGACACCUACUCAUUCAAGGGCUUUUCGUUAUUUUUACUAUUUUCUACAUUGUAGAAUAAUAGUGAAGACAUCAAAACUAUGAAAUAACAUAUGGAAUCGUGUAGUAACCAAAAAAGUGUAAAAGAAAUCAAAAUAUAUUUGAGAUUCUUCAAAGUAGCCACCCUUUGCCUUGACAGCUUUGCACACACUUGGCAUUCUCUCAACCAGCUUCAUGAGGUUGUCACCUGGAAUGCAUUUCAAUUAACAGGUGUGCCUUGUUAAUUUGAGGAAUUUAUUUCCUUAAUGCGUUUGUUAAUUUGAGGAAUUUAUUUCCUUAAUGCGUUUGAGCCAAUCAGUUGUGUUGUGACAAGGUAGGCGUGGUAUACAGAAGAUAGCCCUAUUUGGUAAAAGACCAAGUUCAUAUUAUGGCAAGAAUAGCUCAAAUAAGCAAAGAGAAACAACAGUCCAUCAUUACUUUAAGACAUAAAGGACAGUCAAUCUGGAAAGUUUCAAAAACUUUGACAGUUUCUUCAAGUGCAGUCGCAAAAAACAUAAAGCGCUAUGAUGAAACUGGCUCCCAUGAGGACUGCCACAGGAAAGGAAGACCCAGAGUUACACUACCGUUCAAAAGUUUGGGGGUCACUUAGAAUUGUCCUUGUUUUUGAAAGAAAAGCACCUUUUUUUUGUCCAUUUAAAAUAACAUCAAAUUGAUCAGAAAUACAGUGUAGACAUUGUUAAUGUUGUAAAUGACUAUUGUAGCUGGAAACGGAUGAUUUUUAAUGGAAUAUCAACAUAGGCAUACAGAAGCCCAUUAUCAGCAACCAUCACUCCUGUGUUCCAAUGGCACGUUGUGUUAGCUCAUCCAAGUUUAUGAUUUUUAAAGACUAAUUGAUCAUUAGAAAACCCUUUUGUAAUUAUGUUAGCACAGCAGAAAAUUGUUGUUCUGAUUAAAGAAGCAAUAAAACUGGCAUUCUUUAGACUAGUUGAGUGUCUGGAGCAUCGGCACAUGCGGGUUCGAUUACAGGCUUAAAAUGGCCAGAAACAAAGAACUUUCUUCUGAAACUCGUCAGUCUAUUCUUGUUUUGAGAAAUGAAGGCUAUUCCAUGCUAGAAAUUGCCAAAAAACUGAAGAUCUCGUACAACGCUGUGUACUACUCCCUUCACAGAACAGCACAAACUGGCUCUAACUAGAAUAGAAGGAGUGGGAGGCCCCGGUGCACAACUGAGCAAGAGGACAAGUACAUUAGUGUCUAGUUUGAGAAACAGACGCCUUACAAGUCCUCAACUGGCAGCUUCAUUAAAUAGUACCCGCAAAACACCAGCCUCAACGUCAACAGUGAAGAGGCGACUCCAGGAUGCUGGCCUUCUAGGCAGAGUUGCAAAGAAAAAGCCAUAUCUCAGACUGGCCGAUAAUAAGAAAAGAUUAAGAUGGGCAAAAGAACACACACUGGACAGGAAGAUUGGAAAAAGGUAUUCUGGACAGACAAAUCUAAGUUUGAGGUGUUCAGAUCACAAAGAAGAAUGUGAGACGCAGAACAAAUGCUGGAGGAGUGCUUGACGCCAUCUGUCAAGCAUGGUGGAGGCAAUGUGAUUGUCUGGGGGUGCUUUGGUGUUUGUAAAGUGGGAGAUUUCUACAGGGUAAAAGGGAUCUUGAAGAAGGAAGGCUAUCACUCAAUUUUUCAACACCAUGCCAUACCCUGUGGACAGCACUUAAUUGGAGCGAAUUUCCUCCUAUAACAGGACAAUGACCCAAAGCACAGCUCCAAACUAUGCAAGAACUAUUUAGGGAAGAAGCAGUCAGCUGGUAUUCUGUCUAUAAUGGAGUGGUCAGCACUGUCACCGGAUCUCAACCCUAUUGAGCUGUUGUGGGAGCAGCUUGACCGUAUGGUAUGUAAGAAGUGCCCAUCAAGCCAAUCCAACUUGUGGGAGGUGCUUCAGGGAGCAUGGGGUGAAAUCUCUUCAGAUUACCUCAAGAAAUUGACAACUAGAAUGCCAAAGGUCUGCAAGACUGUAAUUGCUGCAAAUGGAGGAUUCUUUGACGAAAGCAAAGUUUGAAGGACACAAUUAUUAUAAGAAUUUAAAAUCAUUAUUUAUAACCUUGUCAACUUCUUGACUAUAUUUCCUAUUCAUUUUGCAACUCAGUUCAUGUAUGUUUUCAUAAAAACAAGGACAUUUCUAAGUGAUCCCAAACUUUUGAACGUUAGUGUACCUCUGCUGCAGAGGACACGUUCAUUAGAGUUAACUGCACCUCAGAUGGCAGCCCAAAUAAAUUCUUCAUAGAGUUCAAGUAACAGACACAUCUCAACCUCAACUGUUCAGAGGAGGCUGCGUGAAUCAGGCCUUCAUGGUUGAAUUGCUGCAAAGGACACCAAUAAGAAGAAGAGACACGAGCAAUGGACAUUAGACCGGUGGACAUCUGUCUGAUGAGUCCAAAUUUUAGAUUUUUGGUUCCAACUGCUGUGUAUUUGUGAGACGCAGCGUAGGUGAACGGGUGAUCUCCAAAUGUGUGGUUCCCACUGUGAAGCAUGGAGGAGGCAUGAUGGUGCUUUGCUGGUGACACUGUCAGUGAUUUAUUUAGAAUUCAAGGCACACUUAACCAGCAUGGCUACCACAGCAUUCUGCAGCAAUACGCCAUCUCAUCUGGUUUGUGCUUAGUGGGACUAUCAUUUGUUUUUCAACAGGACAAUGACCCAAAACACACCUCUAGGCUGUGUAAGGGCUAUUUUACCAAGAAGGAGAGUGAUGUAGUGCUGCAUCAGAUGACCUGGCCUCCACAAUCACCUGACGUCAACCCAAUUGAGAUGGUUUGGGAUGAGUUGGACCGCAGAGUGAAGGUAAAACAGCCAACAAGUGCUCAAGAUAUGUGGAAGACUCAUGAAGCUCCUUGAGAGAAUGCCAAGAGGGUGUGCAAAGCUGUCAAGGCAAAGGGUGGCUACUUUGAAGAAUCUAAAAUAUAAUUUUUGGGGUCACAUGAUUCCAUGUGUGUUCAUAGUUUUGAUGUCUUCACCGUUAUACUACAAUGUAGAAAAUAGUAAAAAGAAAGUCAAACCCUUGAGUGAGUAGGUGUGUCUAACUUUUGUCUGGUACUGUAUUUUCACUGCAUUUCUCAUUGACAAUGCAAAUACUUGCAUAAAACUAACAUCUUGUAUGAAUUUUCUGUGUGGGGAAAUGAUACCGUAUUUUGUACUUUGGGAUACCUUUUCAGUUUUUGCACAAUUGCUUUAGUAUUUAACUUGCUCAUGAUACUGUUGUGGUUUUACUUUUUAAAAAUAAAAAAAUAUGUUUUCACUGUCCACUAUUUUAAUGUGAAAUACGGGUGAGGUAUGUAAUGGUAACAUUUUCUGUCCUGUCAACACAUUUAUGUAAUGCAUGACCAAGUAUUAUGUUCUAUCGGUGGCAGCAGUCUAAUAAGAUGGCCCGGUUUGAACUUGCCUAUGGUCCAUCACUUCAC
rnacentral:lncRNA from 1 species